CCUUUCUCUGCCCCAUGUGUCUUCUCGGGUGGCCCCGCCUUGAGCUGCUGGCAGUGAGUCUGUUCCAAGCUCCAGAGAGGGAGGCAUCUGCCCACUUGGUGUUUCUCCUGUCCCAGAUGCAUUAAAGCUAUGCUGCAGAAGAACCCAUGUGUGUCCUGUGUGUGUGUCCUUGCUGGCGAGACUCCAUAUCAUAUUACAGAAACAUCUGGUGCCGAAGAUCCCGGGAAUUCUACAACAUUGCCGGCAUGGAGGAGGUCCCCCGGAAACGGGGCGGGUCCAGAACUGCAGUGGAAAGUUCAGAGAGACAUGCUUAACCGUGA
rnacentral:lncRNA from 1 species